AUAUAUUCAGAGCUUUAGAAACACAUGGAAACCCAAGCUUCAUGAAUCUGCUUCAUGUGUUAUUUUUCAUAUUACUUCCCACUUUCAUAUCAAUUAUUCAGUUCCUCUAUUUUCUUAUUUUCUUCCCAAUUGGAUUAACCAUUACUUCUUAACAAUCUCAUGGUCAAAACUUUAGCAGAAAGCAUCCGAAUUCUCGUGAUGGAAAAACCAAAAGUGAUUCAUUUGUGAUUUCACUUCAUUCGCUACUUAAGAAUAAAACUUUCUGCCGUUGUGGAACACCACAUGAAGUGCAUUUUAAAGAGUCUGUGGCUUUACAGUUGUAGUGAAACUUAGUUAUGAGUAAAGUUCGGAUGUUUAUGUCUCAUAAUUUUAAUCUCUGGAAAGUCUUGUAUUCUGGAUUGUUUGUGUAUUCUAAUUCUAAUUGGAACAGUUUCUGUGAAGCAGAUAAGAACAAACAUCAAACUGCUAAACUGCAAGUUUCCUGUUUUUUUUCCAGAAGGCGUUACCACAUUUAAAUGAGCUGUACAAAAUACUCCUAAGCGUUCACCAUCUGAAGCCACACACUCUUUACACAAUCACUGUGAUUCACAGACGCUCAACAAACCACCUUUUUUUGGUUUAUAUCCAUCUGGAAGAAAUGAGCUUCAAAUUAUUUUUGAAAAUGUUUCACUUGGUGUACAUCACUCCACGUGGGAAAAGACGUUCGAGGAGAAAAUCUUCUCUGAGUAAGCUUAAGAAUUGAAGAAGCUUUAGCUGAUCUGAAUUCAUGGAUUAAUUCAAGAGACUCUGCUGUGGGAAGAAGCUGGUGGUCAGGAUGAUGAUGAUGAUGAUCUGAUGAAAUGUUCUUCUACUGCUACUAGUACUGACGAUGACGAUGAUGAUGAUGAUGAUGAUGAUGAUGAUGAUGUUACAGGGUCUGCCUCAUUCUAAGAAUACCCAAGGCUCUGAAGAGGCUGACCCCCUGCGAUCUGCUUCACCUGGACAUGAGCAGCUUCCUGUGCCAUGUGUGCAUGAUUCACAGCCCAUAAAUGCAGUGGUCAGUAAUGAAGAUGAGGACUUCCCAAUGAGCUCCCUCAAUCAGCCACCAUGUGAAGAAAACUCUGAGGAUGGCGGUGGAAAAUGAUGAGCUCUACUGGGAAUGGACUGUCAUUAAUGAAAUAAACAUCCCUCCUAAUAUGCUGGUGUUAAAUGUUAUUUAUCAUGUGAUGCAGUAUUCGGUAUCACAUCAGUGUAUUUCUCUGCUUUGCUGGGAAAAGAAUUCAGAUUCUUUGACAAGGUGUGAGGUGCUGAGAAAAAAAAUUCAACAAUUUGUUCAGGAAAAUUUAUUAAGUAAAAUUAAUCUGACAGUGUGUGUGAGUGUAUGCAGUUAUAAGAGUGACAGACGCAAAUCUGGUCUUGCGGAUGGCUCCUGCCGGUCUGAGUGGAAAGAGUGUAAGGUUUGUUAGGUCAGUCCACUGGAUGUGAGAAGGCAAAAAACCCUUAAAGUCCAGCUCAGUGCAUCUACUGCAAUGGUUUUGGGAAGGGUGAGGAAACUGGAGAACCUGCAGAAAUCCCAUAUGGACACCUGUAUGCAGAAAACUCUGUACACACAGCAAUCCGAGCUCGGGAUCGAAUCAGGAUCCCUGGAGCUGGGAGGCUUUGAGGCUGUGAGGCAACACUGCUUUGCUCCACCCUGCCUCCUGCAAACAAACAUCUACAGCAUAUUAUCAGUUCUAUAUGUAACUGUGAAUUGAUGCAACACAUCACAAUCAGCCAAUCACGUGGCAGUAGCACAAUGCACUGUAUAUAGUCAUGCAGAUACAGCUCAAAAGGCUCAGUUCAUGUUCACAUCAAAUAUCAGAACUGGGAGAAGAAUUAGAUUUCAAUUUGGCCAGAAAUGCCUUGCAGAGAGAGACAGAGAAAGACAAAGAGAGAGGUCAGAGCAGAACAGCCAGACUGGUUUGCGUUGACUUUGAGAAAACUUCAAUAACUACUCUUUAAAUCCGUGGUGAGCAGAAAAGUAUCUCAGAAUCAUCUCAAAACACACACCAUACACAGCACAAUACACACUGAACCUUUAACACACUGAGCACAGCUUGAGUCAAUAGCAUACAGGAAAAGAAAAGUCUGGUUUCUCUUAAUGCUUUUUCUUUGUGUAGUUUUUAAAGGGUUAUUUUUCUUGCCACCGUCACCACUGGCUUGCUCAUUAGGAACAAAAUAAAAAAAAAUACGUCUAGAUUUCUGUAAGCUGCCUUGUGACAAUGUUUUUAGAGGUACAUCUACAGAAAUUAAAUUUUAAUUUAAUUGAAUAGAACUUUGAGGUAUUGGUGCACAUCCGGUUCCACAUCGUGACCGUGAAGAGGACGAACUGGACACAGAACUGCUGUGCACAGACAAAGUGUGGACAGAACAGGCGGUGGUACAGGGGUUGAUGAACUUACACCUUUUGAGCAAAGAGUUGCCUCUAUUGUGGGCGACGUUUUACUCUCUGGAAUAGUAUCCGAUGCUGUGGGAGACUUGGAUUUACUACAUCAAUCCCCCAAAGGUAACUAAUUUCUUAUUUAUUUGCUUAACUUUGGUAAACAUAGCUUACCAGGCUGCAAUUAAAUUUUCAAAUGCAUGCAAUGUAGCUGACCAAUAGUAGACUAGAGAUUAUAAGCUACGUAUCUAUUGCAUUUAUGGAAAUGCGUGAACCCAUUAAUAAAAAACAGACUGAAAUCAGUUAGCAUGUGCCUGUGUUUAUUUGUACUUAGAUGGUGCAAUAGCAGAAACGUUCACUGGCAUGCACGCAGAGUCCGCGCCUCCUGAGCAGCCAGUGCCUAUUGUGUUCGGGGUCUCUGGCGUUUCCGCUGCGCCCCCCAGUGCUGAGGCCCGUCGGUCUGGCCGCGUCUUGACCCAUGCUGUUCUGGAGUCACAACAGCAAAUGGUUACGGCCAUCGGGGAAAUUAAUAGUCACCUGAAAAAUAUCACUGAUGCACUCACAGACA